rnacentral:rRNA from 1 species
UACAGAGGGCCCAAGCGUUACUGAGAUUCACUGGGUUUAAAGGGUGCGUAGGUGGCGCGUUAAGUCAGUUGUGAAAUCCCCGGGCUCAACCAGGGAAAUGCUUCUGAUACUGGCGUGCUUGAGGCCGGUAUAGGUUACUGGAAAGGACGGUGGAGCGGUGAAAUGCGUAGAUAUCGUCUGGAACGCCAGUGGUGAAGACGGGUAACUGGGCCGGUUCUGACACUGAGGCACGAAAGCGUGGGUAGCGAACGGG